CACUGACAUUAGAUACCCCGGUAGUCCCAGCCGUAAACUAUGCGCGUUAGGUGUACUGGUGACCACGAGUCACCGGGGUGCCGAAGGGAAACCGUGAAACGUGCCGCCUGGGAAGUACGGUCGCAAGGCUGAAACUUAAAGGAAUCGGCGGGGGAGCACCACAACGGGUGGAGCCUGCGGUUUAAUUGGACUCAACGCCGGAAAUCUCACCGGAUAGGACAGACAUAUGAUAGUCGGGCUGAAGACUCUACUUGAUGAUCUG
rnacentral:rRNA from 1 species